rnacentral:lncRNA from 1 species
CUCUUUCCUCUGCUGCUCAGCACAGGGACAGGUUCAGCUGUGCUCUCACCUGCAAGGUCUAGAUUGAUCGAUUGGAGAACCCCGUUUCUUUCCUAGGAUUGAAGCACUCUGUCUUCAAGAGCGAGUGGGGAAUGCAGAGGUAAAAGACUUUCUCCUUGGCUUCUGCAGUGCAGAAACGUCCCGUAGACGGAGAUAUCCUAGCAGCAAGCCCCACUUUCCAGUAACUGAAGUCAUCUGCAGACACUGAGACCGUCCUUCGGAGGUGGGGCAGCUGAGAACCAUUGAAUACGGGAAGGCGUCUGAAGGCUCGUGGAAGCAGGGAUGCAGAAACACAUCCUCAUCACCUCCCGUCUCGCCUUCUCCCUCAGGAGAGCUAGAAGUACAGUCCUCCCAGCAAGGUCCAGGGAGAAAGAGCUUGGUUGGUGGAGGCUCACGUGUGAGCUGGAGAGAGCGUGGGUUUCUUCAUCUCCAUGGGGGUGAUGGGAUCCCAGUACUUCUGAAGUGGGACAGUGGGACUGAAGCCUCACAGACAGGAAAGGCACUCGUUCACUAACCACACCUGGGCAGAGAUGGCCACACUGAUGUUUUAUCAGGCGAUUUUGCCUUGAUCAGGCCAGCUGCUUCGGGGAGGUGGGAAGGCUAGCACAAAGCCUCUGUGAAUGCUUGCAUUUGCUCCUUGGUGCUCACUCAUGCUUCCUCAGAGCGAAAGCUCCCCACUCCUCCAGCGUGCUUGGGCACAGCUGAGUAGGCGGGACAUGACGUGCCAAUUUGCUCUUCCUUCCCCGAAGGCCGCUUCCAGACCAUAUUUUUUAAUUUACAGAAUUUCUUAUCUAUUCCCUUGUUAUCCUGGAUACCAAUAUUUCUGCUAGCCAGAGAAUCCUUCAAACAAGAAAGACCCGGACUACGAAUCUUUAGAAUACACUGCUCUUUAUAGCCCCAGAGCAGCAGGCUCUAUAAUAUGGGGGGAUGCCUAUGACGGGCCAGCUAUAAUCCCAACUGAGGGAGGGCAUCUGGGCAGUAGGCUGGGGUUCUGCUGAUAUCAGGUGCUGACCGUUCCAUAGCCAGUGUGCUUGGACCUGAGCCCCGAGGAAGAUGGGAGCAUCCUUCCUCCGGGAUUUUACCCAAUAACCUAUAUGAACAUUUUGUGCUGUCUUCCUGAUCUUGAGCUACAGGAGCAGUGGAAGCUGAAAGUGCCCUGGCCAGUGAGAUUCUUUAGCAGCUAAGCAACAGGCUGAAGUAGCUUCUGUGUUGGGCAAGGAGGCUUCUAACCAUCUGAGCCUACCAGUGGAAAAUCAAGCAGACCCGUAAAGCAAGACCUUACAUCCCACAGGCGUGGAGAAUUGGGUUAUGGCACUAAGCAAUGGAUUCCCAUCAGCCAAGGAAAAAAAAUGAUGCUGAUGAAUUUUAAAGUUCAUGUAGUCGGAGAUGUCCUGAUGCCUGCCACAAUGAACUUGACUGAUACAACCCAACAAGCAGAUGCUUGGUGUCUGGCCUGAAGCAUUGUUUAGCGGGAUGAGAGAUUAUAGGGCUCUUUACAAGUGAUCACCUACCAUGUAUGUGGGUAAAGGUUGACUACACAACCACCGUUCUGUAAAAAUGUGUUAAUCACAAGAAACAUACCACAAACCAUCAGAAAGAUUUGGCCUAGAUGUCCUGGAGAUAUUGGCACAACAAACAAGCAAACAAAACUCCAAAACAAAAGAAAUUCACAAACAAACAACAAGACCAAUGGCAUGUUUCAGUCCGUUGACUUUUUACCAGACAAGAAAUAAAAACUCUUCCUGGCUUGGGUU